rnacentral:rRNA from 1 species
UAGUUAGAGUUUGAUCAUGGCUCAGAUUGAACGCUGGCGGCAGGCCUAACACAUGCAAGUCGGACGGUAGCACAGAGGAGCUUGCUCCUCGGGUGACGAGUGGCGGACGGGUGAGUAAUGUCUGGGGAUCUGCCCGAUAGAGGGGGAUAACCACUGGAAACGGUGGCUAAUACCGCAUAACGUCGCAAGACCAAAGAGGGGGACCUUCGGGCCUCUCACUAUCAGAUGAACCCAGAUGGGAUUAGCUAGUAGGCGGGGUAACGGCCCACCUAGGCGACGAUCCCUAGCUGGUCUGAGAGGAUGACCAGCCACACUGGAACUGAGACACGGUCCAGACUCCUACGGGAGGCAGCAGUGGGGAAUAUUGCACAAUGGGCGCAAGCCUGAUGCAGCCAUGCCGCGUGUAUGAAGAAGGCCUUCGGGUUGUAAAGUACUUUCAGCGGGGAGGAAGGCAGUGAGGUUAAUAACCUUACUGAUUGACGUUACCCGCAGAAGAAGCACCGGCUAACUCCGUGCCAGCAGCCGCGGUAAUACGGAGGGUGCAAGCGUUAAUCGGAAUUACUGGGCGUAAAGCGCACGCAGGCGGUCUGUUAAGUCAGAUGUGAAAUCCCCGGGCUUAACCUGGGAACUGCAUUUGAAACUGGCAGGCUUGAGUCUCGUAGAGGGGGGUAGAAUUCCAGGUGUAGCGGUGAAAUGCGUAGAGAUCUGGAGGAAUACCGGUGGCGAAGGCGGCCCCCUGGACGAAGACUGACGCUCAGGUGCGAAAGCGUGGGGGAGCAAACAGGAUUAGAUACCCUGGUAGUCCACGCCGUAAACGAUGUCG